UCUCCUGGAAAACGGGUGGUAAUGCCGGAUGCUCCAGUUGGAUGCAUGUCCUUCUGGGAAAGAUUCAUCGGUAUGGGAUGGGGUCGCGUCCUAUCAGCUUGAUGGCGGGGUAACGGCCCACCAUGGCUUCGACGGGUAGCCGGCCUGAGAGGGCGACCGGCCACAUUGGGACUGAGAUACGGCCCAGACUCCUACGGGAGGCAGCAGUGGGGAAUAUUGCACAAUGGGCGCAAGCCUGAUGCAGCGACGCCGCGUGCGGGAUGACGGCCUUCGGGUUGUAAACCGCUUUUGACUGGGAGCAAGCCCUUCGGGGUGAGUGUACCUUUCGAAUAAGCACCGGCUAACUACGUGCCAGCAGCCGCGGUAAUACGUAGGGUGCAAGCGUUAUCCGGAAUUAUUGGGCGUAAAGGGCUCGUAGGCGGUUCGUCGCGUCCGGUGUGAAAGUCCAUCGCUUAACGGUGGAUCCGCGCCGGGUACGGGCGGGCUUGAGUGCGGUAGGGGAGACUGGAAUUCCCGGUGUAACGGUGGAAUGUGUAGAUAUCGGGAAAGAACACCA
rnacentral:rRNA from 1 species